rnacentral:rRNA from 1 species
AACGAACGCUGGCGGCAGGCUUAACACAUGCAAGUCGAACGCGCCCUUCGGGGCGAGUGGCAGACGGGUGAGUAACGCGUGGGAACCUACCUCAUGGUACGGAAUAACUCAGGGAAACUUGAGCUAAUACCGUAUGUGUCCUUCGGGAGAAAGAUUUAUCGCCAUGGGAUGGGCCCGCGUCGGAUUAGCUAGUUGGUGGGGUAACGGCCUACCAAGGCGACGAUCCGUAGCUGGUCUGAGAGGAUGAUCAGCCACACUGGGACUGAGACACGGCCCAGGCUCCUACGGGAGGCAGCAGUGGGGAAUAUUGGACAAUGGGGGCAACCCUGAUCCAGCCAUGCCGCGUGAGUGAUGAAGGCCUUAGGGUUGUAAAGCUCUUUCGCCGGUGAAGAUAAUGACGGUAACCGGAGAAGAAGCCCCGGCUAACUUCGUGCCAGCAGCCGCCGUAACAC